CGCCCUUAGAGUUUGAUCAUGGCUCAGAUUGAACGCUGGCGGAAUGCUUUACACAUGCAAGUCGAACGGCAACGGGGGCAACCCUGGGCGAGUGGCGAACGGGUGAGUAAUACAUCGGAACGUGCCCAGUCGUGGGGGAUAACUACGCGAAAGCGUAGCUAAUACCGCAUACGAUCUAUGGAUGAAAGCGGGCAAUCGCGCGAUUGGAGCGGCCGAUGGCAGAUUAGGUAGUUGGUGGGGUAAAGGCUCACCAAGCCGACGAUCUGUAGCUGGUCUGAGAGGACGACCAGCCACACUGGGACUGAGACACGGCCCAGACUCCUACGGGAGGCAGCAGUGGGGAAUUUUGGACAAUGGGCGCAAGCCUGAUCCAGCCAUUCCGCGUGCAGGAUGAAGGCCCUCGGGUUGUAAACUGCUUUUGUACGGAACGAAAAGGCUUUCUUAAUAGGGGGCUAUGACGGUACCGUAAGAAUAAGCACCGGCUAACUACGUGCCAGCAGCCGCGGUAAUACGUAGGGUGCAAGCGUUAAUCGGAAUUACUGGGCGUAAAGCGUGCGCAGCGGUGAUGUAAGACAGAUGUGAAAUCCCCGGGCUCAACCUGGGAACUGCAUUUGUGACUGCAUCGCUGGAGUGCGGCAGAGGGGAUGGAAUUCCGCGUGUAGCAGUGAAAUGCGUAGAUAUGCGGAGGAACAC
rnacentral:rRNA from 1 species